rnacentral:rRNA from 1 species
GUGGGGAAUAUUGGACAAUGGGCGCAAGCCUGAUCCAGCCAUGCCGCGUGAGUGAUGAAGGCCCUAGGGUUGUAAAGCUCUUUCAGUGGGGACGAUAAUGACGGUACCCACAGAAGAAGCCCCGGCUAACUUCGUGCCAGCAGCCGCGGUAAUACGAAGGGGGCUAGCGUUGUUCGGAUUUACUGGGCGUAAAGCGCACGUAGGCGGAUCGUUAAGUCGAGGGUGAAAUCCUGGAGCUCAACUCCAGAACUGCCUUCGAUACUGGCGAUCUUGAGUCCGGAAGAGGUGAGUGGAACUCCUAGUGUAGAGGUGGAAUUCGUAGAUAUUAGGAAGAACACCAGUGGCGAAGGCGGCUCACUGGUCUGGUACUGACGCUGAGGUGCGAAAGCGUGGGGAGCAAACAGGAUUAGAAACCACGGUAGUCC